rnacentral:sRNA from 1 species
AUGGCUGUCGUCAGCUCGUGUCGUGAGAUGUUGGGUUAAGUCCCGCAACGAGCGCAACCCUUGUCAUUAGUUGCUACAUUCAGUUGGGCACUCUAAUGAGACUGCCGGUGACAAACCGGAGGAAGGUGGGGAUGACGUCAAGUCCUCAUGGCCCUUAUGGGUAGGGCUUCACACGUAAUACAAUGGCGCGUACAGAGGGUUGCCAAGGAGCGAUCUGGAGCCAAUCCCGAAAAGCGCGUCGUAGUCCGGAUUGCAGUCUGCAACUCGACUGCAUGAAGUCGGAAUCGCUAGUAAUCGCGGAUCAGCAUGUCGCGGUGAAUACGUUCCCGGGUCUUGUACACACCGCCCGUCACACCAUGGGAGUGGGUUUCACCAGAAGCCGGUCGCUUAACCCGCAAGGGAUGGCGCCGACCACGGUGAGAUUCAUGACUGGGGUGAAGUCGUAACAAGGUAGCCGUAUCGGAAGGUGCGGCUGGAUCACCUCCUUUCUAGAGAAAAGCGCCCUCUCAGCGCCCACCAUCUAUCGGUUGUUUCGAAGUUCGCGGCAACCAUCAAUUGGCGACCCAGGCAGGGUCUGUAGCUCAGUUGGUUAGAGCACCGUCUUGAUAAGGCGGGGGUCGAUGGUUCGAAUCCAUCCAGACCCACCAACCAACGUUUCAAUCAUUCGAGGAAGUAGCAAUCAGCGUCGUCUUAUGGCGAGGUUGAUUGGUGUUUCUUCGAGACGGGGGUAGCCCGCCUUGGGGUGAUUGAUCAAACAUUGUCGGCUGCUCUUUAACAAUUUGGGAUAGAAGGUAGUUGUUCUUGCGAAAGGGGCGUUGUGAUGACGCUUUGAGUAGCGAGGACACUGGGUUAUGUAUUGCAUCGUGUCUUCGAUCGAGCGAUCGAUUGGAGAUGCACAAGCGCGAGAGUUUCCUAUGGCUGCGUGAUGUCUUGAGGGACUUUGCCUCGGGGCGCGCUUUCCUGCAAAGGGAGGCAGCAAGGUUAUAGGGUCAAGCGAAUAAGUGCAUGUGGUGGAUGCCUUGGCAAUGAUAGGCGACGAAGGACGUGACAGCCUGCGAUAAGCUGCGGGGAGCCGGCAAAUGGGCGCUGAUCCGCAGAUUUCCGAAUGGGGAAACCCGG